ACAACAUUUUGGUUCUGACUUUUUCGAGCUGUUUUCGGAUAGUCGAAAUUCUAAAUUCAAUAUUUCUAUUGCAGUUUUUAAUCGAAUAAAAAUGGUAUGAAGUCAAAACUUUAAAUUUAUUGCCGUUCCAAAAUAGCUUUUGGAGACAGUACUUCAGAUUCUACUUCAGAUACAAGAAGAUUCAGAUUGAUACAACUAAUAAAAAGCGUCAGCUUUCUUACAAAAUCAAUAUAAUUGUGGCGGAGUUUGAGGAAAAAAAUCAUCAUGUUGCCCAUAGACCUUGGGAUACAUUUAGUCUACGUAAUUGUCUCUGCGGCGGCAGUUUAUUUUGUAGAUGCACCGAAGGACAACAUAUUUUUGCUCGGUGCGUGUAUGUUUUGUGUAGUGCAUGGACUACUGUGUCUUGUGCGAGACAUUAACAAUGAGAGCGAUGAAGAAUGUACCAAAGUUUCAAAAAUUUCUGAAACAGUUGCGGAUCUUUUACCCUUAAUGUGCAUUUGCAUUCAUUUCUAUAAAAAGUCGGAAACGCUUUCAGAUUACGCCUAUGCUCACGGAUUUGCUGCAAUUGUUGUCGUUUAUGAUCUAUUUGCGACUUUCGGCAACGAAGAUUAUCAAGAUAGUGCGACAGAAUAUCUAAAGGUUUUGACAAUCGCAAGUUGUUGCAUAUCCUUAUUGGUUUCCGGAUUUAUUGACAAUAACAUUUUUUAUAUGGCAAUUGGUUUAGUUGUGCUAUUAUUGAAAGAUGGUACAAUGUUUCUAUCAGCCCUAUGCAUACCUGGCAUGAAUUAUGUUCAGGCUUUAAGUGAUACUAUUGUUAUUGCAACCGCAGUUGCUGUUGCUGGUGGAUAUCUUGAUGAUUUCAACGUAGAUAUUAAAGGUUUAAUUGGAAUGGGCGGCGAAAAGAAAGACGAUGGCGGCGGUGACGGUGGCGGUGACGCUAAAUAGAUCAUUUAAUAGAAUAAGUCUCAUUAUUCUAAAGAAGAGAACAGCACGCAAACGUAUACCAAGGACACCACAAUUCGUGAGACAUGCAUAAUACAGUGCACUAGUUGAAUGUAACGCCCGUGAUCUAUAUGUUACUAUUACAUAUACAUUUCUAUGGAGUUUCCUUCGGCAGUGUGUUAUGUGGUUGAAAAUUAAAUAUGCUGUCUAAUGAAUAUAAUUCAAAAACGCAACAAUUAAUACGACUACAACUUUGAAGAAGUCUUCUGCAAGUAAUAGAAAGUAUUCCUAUAAUUUCCAAAAGCUUAAACUAAAUUAAUAAGCAAUUUUUAUAAGAACACCAAUUAAACAAUAUCUCUGAAUUCUACUUAUUCCUGAUGCAGAGAGAAGUUAACUGAUCUUAAAAAGUGAAUAAUUUAAACUAUCCGAAAAAAUUAUAAAAUAGCUUCAUUCCGUUGCCAUUAAAAAAAGCAAAGCA